AAUAAUGAGUCGAAUAUCUUGAGAGGGGAGAAGCGGAGAGAAAGGUAUGGUGUGAGACUGUGAGAGAGCGGCAAAAGGAGAGAUCGGAUCCGAGAUGAGUAUUCAUAACCCAACUGUGUCGAUCUGUGGGAAUGAAUCUUUAACAAGAUCGGGAUCUCAUGCCUAUUCACGCUGCCGCUUUCAUCAACAUUGUGGGAAGGAAGACAGCAACAUAAUCUAGUGCCCACUUACCUUAUACCCAAUCUCGCCCUUCUCUUGCUUUCAUUGUAGCAGUGCUCCUCGACCUCUUUGAUAGGUCCACUCUGUAUUUCAAGGCCACCCCAUACCUACCGAGGUGGCUGUUGCUAGCUUUAGCAUUUGUCUUGGCAUUCGGAAUUGAGUUAAUCUUCUAUACUUAUCAUCUCUCCUAUUUGUGCUGCCCUCGUCCCCACUACCAUGGUGUUAUCCGUCUCACGGGGCUUCUAUUCUAACAGGUAGGCGACAAUGGCACAUGAGAAGGCCCCUCUAUUUUUAUCCCCUAACCAUCAUGGCUACAUUUCACAGGUUCCUCCUGAUCUCCAAAAUGUUUGCAUAUCUAUUUUCCUUAUUCGUUUCCAUGAUUGGCUCAGUUAGAUUAAUAAGUAGAUAUGGAAUUCUAACAGAGUCUCCUCGGCUUCAAUGUUACCAUUGUGAUCUAGAGGGAAAGAGUGUGCAACCUAUUGUAUGCAUACAGUCGAAGAAAAGACAGAAAGUAAGACAAAAAUACCACAAAAAGAUUGGGACCAAGAUCUUAACUACAAGGGUGUCUUUCUCUAGCCGAAUCUGAGGAGUUCCCUUUCAUGCAAGGCUUUGGAUUUUUACCUAACAAAAACUUCAUAGAGAAAUAGAAAAAUUAGUUUAAUUUAAAUAUGAAAACUGUAAGUGCUUCAAGUGGAUUAGCCAUUCAGGAUUCUAGUUUGGUUCUUUGAAAAUCUCCCUUGGAUCAAUUACUUAUUCAAAGGUUGUAGAUGGACAAAAUUUAAACAAUUGAGUUUUCUUUUUCUUUUUAAUUAUGGAUAUCUUGGUUAAUUUUUUUCUAAUAAAAGAUGAAGGGUGUUAGAAAAUGUCAUUUUUUUAGCUUAGUCUUUUAUGCUCUAUUUGUAAUUUAUCUAACAUCCGGUUCAAUAUCCAUGUUAAGAACUGAGGAUCUACAGUUUGGUAUAUAUCCAUCCGAUCAAAUCAAAGUUCAAUCAAUCAUCAUAAAAAAUUCUUUGAAAAUAUUUGAGUUGAAUCACAACUGUUGGAUUGAUUUAUAGUUCAACUUUUUAAGCCUAAAUUUCCAAAUUGAGGUUUGAGGAAAUAAAGUAGUUGUUAAGACACUCUUUGUGCUCCUCCUUCUUGGCAAAUUGCCAAUGUUUGUUUCCCCAGAAAAUCUACUCAUUUUGAGUUGAAAAACAUGUUUUAAUUUAGUUUUCUUUCAAAAUUAGGGUUGAUUAAUCUUGUCAUACCAUUCUUUCCUUAUUGUUGUCUUGUGAUCGGGAUAAAACCCUUUUCUUCUUGAUUGGGCAUCAAGAAGCCGCUAAGGUCAAGUUUGGCGAUAACUCGAAGUCUAUUCUUGAUGAAGAGAGUGUAUAGUUGAAGUUUGAAGGUACUAGCUAAGUUCUUAGAAGAGGAUUGGUAGAUUUGAAUUUGGUAAAACCUUGUAUUAAAUUAUUUUGCUUCAUAAUGGAAUUUUUCAGAGAUCUUCCACAUGAAAUUUGUGUCGUUCCCCCUCCCCCUCCUAUUUCUUCCUUUGGUUAUCUUUAUUAUCUAUGAUUGUGAAUUUUAAACUGUCAUAAUGGUUUGCAUUAUUGAUGACAUUGGUAGAAUUUUUAUCAAUUGCACCUAAAAAAGUGUUGAAAUUUCUUCUCAUGUUCCAUUGUUGCAUUUUUGUGAAUAGUCUGUUUGGACUAUCAUAUGCAAAUUGCCGAGUGAAAGCAGAGGUGUAGGUGACAUAUGCAUAGAAGGGGCUGUGGUCAUGUAUCCAGGAACAAUAGUGAUGCCAAGAAAGCCAGUAAGAGGGAGCGGUACGGAGGAGAGCAGCAGAAUAAGAAUGGAAAGUGAACUCAAGUCGAGAUGGCAAGACAAAUAGUAGUAGGGUAGCAGCAGCCACCUUGGUGGUUAUGGGGUGGGCUUGAAAUGCAGAGCUUGGCUUAUUCUGGAACUGUAACUCGAUGAGGUCGAGAAGCAUGUGAAGAAUAAGGGUAAAGAAGGUUGAGAAUGGCACGUAAUGCAGUAGAAGUAUGAUUAUGUUGUUGUAAUGUUGGUGGGGGAAUUAUGUCGCUGUAAUGUUGUUGGAGGUUAACUCCCACAGUAUUCAGAGUAGCAGAGUGAAUAGCCUGGUAGUGUUCUGGAUACUAAUUUGAGUUUAAGACCAAAAUAGUGUUUUUGAAGAAAAAAAUAAUGAAAAUCGAUCUUCUUCCAAAAUAUU